UACGUAGGGUGCAAGCGUUGUCCGGAAUUAUUGGGCGUAAAGAGCUCGUAGGCGGUCUGUCGCGUCUGCUGUGAAAACUCGGGGCUUAACCCCGGGCCUGCAGUGGGUACGGGCAGACUAGAGUGCGGUAAGGGAGACUGGAAUUCCUGGUGUAGCGGUGAAAUGCGCAGAUAUCAGGAGGAACACCGGUGGCGAAGGCGGGUCUCUGGGCCACUACUGACGCUGAGAAGCGAAAGCAUGGGGAGCAAACAGG
rnacentral:rRNA from 1 species